CUGGGACCCUCAGAUCACCACCUUCUGCAAGGCUAGGAUUUACCAGACUCUCAGCUUGUAAUGUGAAUGAAGAAAGCAUAUUAUGCCUACUCUGCAAUUAAGAAACCUAGAGACUGGAGAUGGUAAGGAAGAUGAAAGGCUAGCAGGCUAAUACUAUCAAGUCAAAAUGAAAAAGCUCUGGCAACUCUUCAAGUGACACGAGGGAGAAAAGCGUGUAGCAUGACAAUGGUUCCUUCUGGCACCUGGCCAUCUUGGUUUUUUUAGCAAGAUCAACUCAAGAUCAGAUCUGCUCAGGUCUGCUUGUAACCUGCCCCUUGGAUGAGAAAUAAUCAGAAAACUGAAAGGCGUUUUAAAGAUAAAUGGUAAAACUGAACUGGGAAUCCGUCUGGCCCGCUGCCUGCUCUAAUGAAUAACACCACUUUGGUUGCUGCAAUGUAAGCAAAAAGUUCUCUCCCGGCCUCUUUCGUCCGUCAUGAAUCUACAAGACAGCCGACAUAAUAUCUGGGCGACAACGGGCGCGCUAACAGUGCAGCGACUUCCAUUUUCUUUGCUUUCUAUUGAUUUUCACUUAAUAACUGGCGAAAUACUAAACGUCCGCCCUGAGUACCUAAUAAAUCCUGGCUGAGCUUUUUAUUGAGGAGAAUUUAAUAAAAACAACCAUUGUGGCUGAGGGAUUUUUCUUCUGGACAGAACAUAGGGUAGGGGACAGAGAGGUUGGGGCAAGAGAAAGCCAUCUGGGUCUUUCUUUCCUUUCUUUCCUGUCUUUC